rnacentral:misc_RNA from 1 species
UCCCCAUUAACUGAGGCAGUUUCCUGUGAAAAGUACAACACAGGAUGCGGGUUGCGCUCGUUGACCGACUGAACGGGACACUUCACAGCACGAGCUGACGACAACCGUGCAACACCUGUCACCUGGUUCCUUGCGGCACGGCCCCCUUUCAGGGGCUUUCCAGGGAUGUCAAACCUCGGUAAGGUUCUUCGCUUAGUGACGAAUUAAACCCCACGCUCCACCACUUGUGCGGGUCCCCGUCAAUUCCUUUGAGUUUUAAACUUGCGUUCGUACUCCCCAGGCGGCUCACUUAACGCGUUAGCUACGGUCCAAAAGGGGGUCGAUACCCUCCAAGACCUAGUGAGCAUCGUUUACGGCGUGGACUAC